UAUUUCUGCCCAAUGACCACUGAUCUUCUUGAAAUCUAGCUGGGUAGAUAGCCAAUGAGCUGAGGUAAAUGCCAGUAUGUAAUGGUUUGGGGUUGGACCACAAUUCCUUGUUUGUAAUUGCAUGCGCAGGGAACUCCAUUCUCGCCUUGACGAUCAGAGGAGUUACUGUAAGGCUUUUUAUGUGCAGCUGUAUUUCGGAAAGUUGAAGUCUCAACGAUUUCAUUGAAGAUAUCAUGGCGAAUAAAUCAUGUAAAGCGAAGUCAAAGUCUAAAGUGAAAGUGAGACAGAUUUUUUGUUUGAGGAAUCUUGGAGUGUUAUGAUUCAAACAAACUGAGGAGCUGUUUCUGCAAGGACAGGACGUACUUCUGGACGGUGAUAGCGACUCCGACUGGGAGCCCCCAGUGCCCGCUCUACCUGUGCCCCCAGUGGUGUUAUAUGCCACAGUUCAUUACUGCAGGCAUGACUGUGCCUCAGGGCCAAAAGGGCACAGCAUGGAGGCGUCGUUGUGUUCUGUGUCGCAUGAAAUGCACCACCUGUUCAGUUUGCCUCUGCUUUACAUCAGAAAGAGAUUGCUAUGGGACAUGGCAAAAUAUUAUGACGGGGACUUCCAAGGCCCCUCGUUGUCAAGGAAGAGGAGACACCACCAGUGAUUAAGAAUUUGGAGGAUAAAGAAUGUCUGAUGUAAUUGCUGACAACAGCAAAUCCCAGUCCAGAGAUGCAGCAUGACAUGGAGCAAAAGAAGGGACAUCAAUCAGAUCUGGAAUAACAACGGGAACCUCAAUGAUUGAACAUAGCUACAACUCAACAUCCUGACUCCUGACACCAACGCCUUCUAAAUCUGAAGUUGUCCUAAUAUGGACACCGUAAUCUGGAAUGGACUCCACCCUACGGUCAGAAACCUUACCGACUGGCCUUUGUUACCCAACUCUAUUUUAUUGUUAAUAAGACUUACAUUCCAUGACAGUGAGAACUCUCAACUUCCAGUGUGUUCAGUUUGCAUUUGUUUCUCUAACUGGAAAAAAAUAUCCUUUAUAAUCACUUAAUGUAAUAAUGGCUCACAGAUUAUGUUCAUUUGUUUACAAUAUUAUGAGACGUGCAAACUAUUGCAUUGUAGUGAUUUUUUUAUUCAUGAUUGUCUUCUCUGUCAGUGUUUUUUGCAGAACUGUAAACAUAUUAUUGUAACAUGCACUCAAGAAGUACAUCAAAACAAUAUAUUGAAUAUGAUUGCUUCUCUUGAAAUCUUUAGCCCACAACGCAAAAAACAUGCAAACCAAACAUAAUACAAUCUGAAUGAGCCGCAGUGGUUUGACCAGGACCGUGUUCUUUAGGCACACAACGUUUUAAAGCGUAUUGCAAUGGAAAGUGUAAAUGAGACUUUCUUAUUGGACAUGUCCAGGUAUUCUAUCCCCGUUUCAGUCCAUUUUCUUCCAUUUGGUGCCUAAUGAGCACAACCCAGAUGCAAAUAUGUGAUUCGCAGAGAUACGUAAGCUUGUUUAAUGUUUAAUCGUUGUUUUGUCUUUGACUUGCCUCUAAAAGUAAGAGAUGUAAAUGUGACAAGUAUGUCCUAUGUCUACUUAUGUUUGGCUCAUGCAAUAUAGUAGUUACACAAAUGCAAAAACACCGUU